rnacentral:rRNA from 1 species
UUCCACGUAGGGUACCCCGGGAACUGGGGAUAAUACCCUAUAGAUUACAGAUGCUGGAAUGCCCUGUAAUCCAAAGUUCCGACGCCCUAGGAUGGAUCUGCGGCCGAUUAGGUUGUUGUUGGGGUAAUGGCCCAACAAGCCCGUAAUCGGUACGGGUUGUGGGAGCAAGAGCCCGGAGUUGGAUUCUGAGACACGAAUCCAGGCCCUACGGGGCGCAGCAGGCGCGAAAACUUUACAAUGCGGGCAACCGUGAUAAGGGAACCUCGAGUGCCUGUAAAUGCAGGCUGUUCAGGUGCAUAAAACACACUGAAGAAAGGGCCGGGCAAGACCGGUGCCAGCCGCCGCGGUAAUACCGGCGGCUCGAGUGGUGGCCGCUUUUAUUGGGCUUAAAGCGUUCGUAGCUGGGUUGUUAAGUCUCUUGGGAAAUCUGGCGGCUUAACCGUCAGGCGUCUAAGGGAUACUGGCAAUCUUGGAACCGGGAGAGGUGAGGGGUACUUCGGGGGUAGGAGUGAAAUCCUGUAAUCCUCGAGGGACCACCUGUGGCGAAGGCGCCUCACCAGAACGGCUUCGACAGUGAGGGACGAAAGCUGGGGGAGCAAACCGGAUUAGAUACCCGGGUAGUCCCAGCCGUAAACUAUGCGCGUUAGGUGUAUCGGUGACCACGAGUUACCGAGGUGCCGAAGGGAAACCGUGAAACGUGCCGCCUGGGAAGUACGGUCGCAAGGCUGAAACUUAAAGGAAUUGGCGGGGGAGCACCACAACAGGUGGAGCCUGCGGUUUAAUUGGACUCAACGCCGGGAAGCUCACCGGAUAAGACAGCAGAAUGAUUGCCGGGCUGAAGACUCUGCAUGACUAGCUGAGAGGAGGUGCAUGGCCGUCGUCAGUUCGUACUGUGAAGCAUCCUGUUAAGUCAGGCAACGAGCAAGACCCACGCCAACAGUUGCCAGCAUGGUCUCCGGACUGAUGGGGACACUGUUGGGACCGCCUCUGCUAAAGAGGAGGAAGGAAUGGGCAACGGUAGGUCAGCAUGCCCCGAAUUAUCCGGGCUACACGCGGGCUACAAUGGGCAGGACAAUGGGCAUCGACACCGAAAGGUGAAGGCAAUCUCCUAAACCUGUCCUUAGUUCGGAUUGUGGGCUGCAACUCGCCCACAUGAAGCUGGAAUCUGUAGUAAUCGCGUCAGAGUUGCUCGACCU